CAGUCGCCGCGGGAAUACGUAGGGCGCAAGCGUUGUCCGGAAUUAUUGGGCGUAAAGAGCUCGUAGGCGGUCUGUCGCGUCUGGUGUGAAAUCCCGAGGCUCAACCUCGGGCUUGCAUCGGGUACGGGCAGACUAGAGUGCGGUAGGGGAGACUGGAAUUCCUGGUGUAGCGGUGGAAUGCGCAGAUAUCAGGAGGAACACCGAUGGCGAAGGCAGGUCUCUGGGCCGCAACUGACGCUGAGGAGCGAAAGCAUGGGGAGCGAACAGGAUUAGAUACCCCAGUAGUCCCUGUCUCUUAUAC
rnacentral:rRNA from 1 species